GCACGCCUGUCAAAACUCGAAGCCCGUCUCUGUCUAUCCAGUGUUUCUCUCUCCCGAACGGAUAGGCAUGCGACACCACGUCGCCAGCGACGGCGACGACCGGCCGGCUGGCAGACCAAGCCCCAGUGCCGUGCUCUCGCUCCUCCCUGUCUUCCUCUUCGGCCUUUUCCGCCCAUCCCUCCUUGUCCCAUGCUUGGGUGACCUCGGCGGCAACCAUGGACAGUGCCGGCACCGCAUCACGGGUGGUGCGGUGGCCGGUGGUGACGAGGCUAGCACCGAGACUAGCACCGAAACGGCCUUGCCGUCCAUGCGGAUGCCUUCUCCCUCGAACAGGCGACCUUCUGGUCGUUGCUGCGGACUCUGGCGGCAGCGGAGGCUCUUCUAACGGGACAGAGACAUGAGCCACGAGAGAUGCAAAUAUAGAUUCAACAUCUUUGGAUCAAUCCAAUGGGGGCACAAAGGUAGUAGCAGUCCGUAAAAGAUGUUGAGGCCAAGAAUCUUCAGCUAGGAAGAGGGAGUAGAAGAGGAAUAACAGGAGAUGGCUUUGCAACCAGAACCAGCUGCUGAUUAGAACACAAGAUGUAGAUUCAGAACCAUUUGAGACAUCACCCUUCACGCCAAAGGAAAUUGAUGAUGAUGAUGAUGAUGAUGAUGAUGAUGUGAUCACAUGAAGCCAGCAUGGUCUAGCAGAUAUAUCUUGCUCAGCGCCUUAGUUAUUCUUUUUUACAAGGUAAUGCUUUGUUUAGCAAACCAAGACAUCACAUAUUGCAGCCUCCCAAAAGGAAUGCUGAGAUUACACAACGCCUUCCUGCAAAAACAAAGCGAAAUGAGCAUGAAGUUCCGUUUGCCUAUAUUAGAGUGAUCCCAAAAGACGCGCUUGGCAACUGCAUUAGCUUUGGCAUUCUCAGCUCGAGGACCCUCGAGAACCAGCUCGGCGUCAUGUCCUGUGUGCAGAGAUUGCAGACAGCCUGCCAAGGUAUGAUCGACCAAUGGCCAGACCGAGCCACCAUAAUCAUUUGACGUUACUGUGUUGGGCCUGUUGGCAAGGCCCCAACAAUCAGAAGAAAGGUGAGUUGGUGACAUUGCUCCAUCCCAGUGCUUUGACAGCUCGAACGCUACAUGCCUCCGAGUCUGCCUUAACAACCGAAUGAAAGAGCCUGGAUAUAAUGCUUGAGAUUGGGUACAAGGUUGUGCAGAGGAAACAAUAUUAUUAUGUACGCUCCUCUUGUGACCUUUAUUAAGUUAACAACAUUUUACAGAGAGAAGUCAUCCAUAGAGCAACACAUUUAGCCAAGAGUUCCUCUUUGAAAGGGCAUACAGUAUUCAUCUGGGAGUUGGCUAGACAUAUAAAACUAAAAUCCCUAUCCUGAAUGUUGAUAGCAAGGCCAGCGUGGAAGUGAGAUUUAAAGUUUAAAGUUCUCGAGAUUUGAUGAUCAUCUCGGAUUAAAAGCAGCACUCUUAAAAAUAGUCGCCCCGUUGUGGCCUGAGUUCCCAAUGCUCAAGAGACGUGAGCAGGUUGACUGAAGCUACCGCCUUAGCAAAAAGUAGAACAUCGGAAGAGAAUGUGACCUCCUAGAGCUGGAAUAUACCUGCCAGUCUUGUUGCUAGGUGCAGACCGUGGGCACAGUUCAGCGACGGGUGAAUAGAGAGCACUACAAGAGAAAUGCUACAUAACAUUUAAUUGCCAUUCUCUUUGUUUAGUUUGAUCGGAAGAAUAAAAGUCGAUCCUCUUCAUAUCCUUACCAGGGAUGACAAAGCUGAGCUCUUUAUUUAUGCUUCUUGUGUGUAUUUUCCGUAUUUAGUGUGAUUGCAGACUUAACAGAUCAACUAUGUGGAAUAGUCAACAAUUUUAUUUUGCCUAUCAACAUGGGCUUAAUAAGCGACAAUUAUACAACUGA